ACACAUCCUUUACUAGAAACAACCGUGUGCUUGCAGCCUGCAGAUCAGACACUAAGUUUCCCAAAGGGAAUAUUGAAGAACCUCUGCGUCCGAGUUGGUACCUUAUACGCUCCAGCAGACUUCGUGGUGAUAGAGACUGAUACUGAUGAGAGGGCAUCCAUCAUCCUAGGGAGGCCAUUUCUGAACACCUCAGGAGCUGUCAUCUACGCUAGUGCUGCUAAGAUUAGUUUCUACAUCAAGGGGAAGAAGGAGACGUUUUCCUUCAUAAGCAAGACUACACAAAUCUCAGAGCAAUCCCGACAUGAACCAAGGAAGAGGACCAACAGGAGGGACACGAACAAGCAAAUAUGGACCAAGUCAGCUAAGAUGGUCACUGCAGUUCAAGGAGGUCAAGAUCGUCGACUUAAGUGACCGUUCCUGACCAAAAAGGAUGGCCGCAGUCACCUAUCAGCUCCUGUUCGGAACCAUGCCCCUAAAACCGACAUAUAUUCAGCUCCAAAUGAUUUUAAGGUUAUUGACAUGGGAGAAGACGAGUACGAUCCACCCAUCAUCCUUGGGAGACCGUUCCUCAGCACCGUUAAAUCUACAUUGGAACCAGAGAAGUCCACAUGCACUUCCCCUCUGAGAAGAUAUGCCACUGUUUUACUGACCCUAACUAUAUAGUUGAAGACUCUAAGCAGGACAAGAAGACGACGACGCAACCGCAACCAGAGGAGGCAAAUCAUCAAGGACGGAUGGGCAGACUACGAAGGAGAAGUGGUAAGGUCUGAACACAGUCCUGAGGAGACCGUAGCAUCGAGUCAGGUGUGGAGAGAGAAGAUAGUUAUACAUGAAGAGCAGGCGCCACCGGAACCACCGACUACGCCAUCCAGCAAAUCCUAGGAUGACUGAGGAAACAGAGAGUCCCGUUCGGAGGACUUAAAAAACAUCGAACACCUUGCCAAGAGGUAAACUUGGUAGUUAUCUUUUUCCUUUUAAUUAUUUUAAAAUAGUUUGCUUAGUUAAUCAGGUUCAUAUCAUCUUGAAAAGAAAAUAAAAAUGUUAAAAAAGUAAGCCCCAUGUGAGUAUGCUCAUGGCAUAAAACCCAUAAGUACGUUCACUGUGGUGGCAUAAAAAUGAAAUAAAUAUAUUCCUAUCCUAUAAAAAUAAAAUUAUAAAAAUAAAAUUAUGAUUCUACUAUAGAGAGUAACAUUUAUUGAGGAGGCUCAACAUGAUAAAGGCUAGAUAUUUAUGCUAACACUUAACCAGUUCCACAAAGCAUUGUUGUCUAUUUGAGCUCCACAGAAUUCAAGGAUCAAAGAAGACUAGCAGACGGAGGACAUCCUAAUCGCCUAUCAGGGUGCUGCCGGCAUUCAAAUACACCUCCGCCACCUGCUAGCUACAUCACAUGAAAUUACGUUGAAAUCCAGCUUGGGGGAGAGCACCCCCAUUUAUCCAGCUAAGUGUUCUACUUCUAUUUAUACUUUACUCUAAUAAUAAAAAGAUGCAUAAUCAUAAAAACCAAAAUAAAGAUUCUGUGCUUAUAUAUGUCUUUCCUUAGUUUGCUAAAUAAAUAAAUAAAGUUUGCUAUGAACCCUCAUGAUAAGCUCUCACAUGGAAAUGAUGAAUAAUUGCUCUGCCAUGGCUAGUUCUCAAAAUUAAAAUCUCUCUCAAGUUUAGGCAUGACUGUAUUAAUUAUGAUUUGCUCUAAACCUGAACUAGUGGGAAGAGUACUUGAUCUAAAGUCCAAGUCGUUAACGGAUACGAUAUGGGAAGGUUGAGCUGCUGUUUAUCUGUUCCUAGAGAUGCUAGAAUUCUGGAGAAUUUUAUGUUUGAAAAUCUUUAAAAUAUCACAUGAUGAGUUCAUAUAUGAUGAGAGUUUAAAUUCCUACCACAGCCAUAUAUACAUACUUGCUAGACUUUGAGCCACACAUUUACUUUUUACUACUUAUGAGCAUUGAGUGUGGUCAAGCUGUGUAGACCCUUAGGAGCUUGUCAUGUGGUUAAGUCAAGAUUCACUUGCACGUUUACUCACACAUGCUGUUUCUACUCCAGAAGUACGUAUCCACUUAUAUCCAUCCAUUUCCAUCUCCAGAAUCACCUAAAAAUAUUCUACUCCUAAUCCGGGAGAGAAUAGCCAAAAACAUUUCUAUUUUCCCUGUGAAAUAAAUGCUCAAGUUAUCUUGGUUACUACCACUUGCUAUAUUAUUUCAGGAAAUGAGUGCUCUAAAAAAAAGAAAGAAUACGAUGAAAUAAAAAGGGGCAAGUGCCCGGAACCUCGAAAGAAAGAAAAAGUGAGACGAGAGGUAAAAAUGGACAAGUGUCCGACAGUAGAAUUAGGGGUACAAGAUACCCACCUGAGAGAAAAGAAAAAGAAAAUAUAGAGCAUCUCAUUCUCUCCAAAAAUUUCAAAAGAGCAAGAAAGGUAUGUACCCCCUCAAAAGAGCAAAAGUAGAAUUAGACUUUCACCAUUACUUUCACCAUUAUCACCAUUGAUUCGCCACACAUGCACAUCUUGAUUUGACUUAUUGACUUGUUGUUCUGGAUCCAUGGUUUGACUAUGCAAUAAAUCUCUUGUAAGUAUGUAUUAGCUGUCUCCCACCUAUGAGCUCCAGAUAUCAAAAGCCUUAUUAGAGUAGGGUGAGAGAGAAGGCAAUGCCACCGUGCCUCAUACCAAAAAUACCACAUACUUUGAGAGAAGGCAUACACCAUUACUGCCUUGGUAAGGAUCCAGAAAUACCACGAAAGAGAGACUAGAGAGAGUCAUACAAGGAAUCUCUGAGUUUUAUUUGAAAAUCUACAAAAACUCUAGAGCUAUAGCUGAUCAAGAAUAAGAGACAUGGUGCUUGACUAGACUGUUCUAUCUUUUAACUGCUCAAGACAGAAGUGACGGUUACAAGUCCCAUGGUAAAAGGUAAAACAAGUAAGUUUUUAGUCUUAACAGUUUACCCUAACCCAGAGAUGAGAUCUUGUUUGAACGAAUGAGUAUU
rnacentral:lncRNA from 1 species